AACGAACGCUGGCGGCAGGCUUAACACAUGCAAGUCGAGCGCCCCGCAAGGGGAGCGGCAGACGGGUGAGUAACGCGUGGGAACGUACCCUUUGCUACGGGAUAGCUCCGGGAAACUGGAAUUAAUACCGUAUGUGCCCUACGGGGGAAAGAUUUAUCGGCAAAGGAUCGGCCCGCGUUGGAUUAGCUAGUUGGUGGGGUAAUGGCCUACCGAGGCGACGAUCCAUAGCUGGUCUGAGAGGAUGAUCAGCCACAUUGGGACUGAGACACGGCCCAAACUCCUACGGGAGGCAGCAGUGGGGAAUAUUGGACAAUGGGCGCAAGCCUGAUCCAGCCAUGCCGCGUGAGUGAUGAAGGCCUUAGGGUUGUAAAGCUCUUUCACCGGAGAAGAUAAUGACGGUAUCCGGAGAAGAAGCCCCGGCUAACUUCGUGCCAGCCGCCGCGGUAAUAC
rnacentral:rRNA from 1 species